rnacentral:rRNA from 1 species
AUAGAUACCCGGGUAGUCCCAGCUGUAAACGAUGCAGACUCGGUGAUGAAUUGGCUUAUUGCUAAUUCAGUGCCGCAGGGAAGCCGUUAAGUUUGCCGCCUGGGGAGUACGGUCGCAAGACUGAAACUUAAAGGAAUUGGCGGGGGGAGCACCACAAGGGGGUGAAGCCUGCGGUUCAAUUGGAGUCAACGCCGGAAAUCUUACCGGGGGGCGACAGCAGAGUGAAGGUCAAGCUGAAGACUUUACCAGACAAGCUGAGAGGAGGUGCAUGGCCGUCGCCAGCUCGUGCCGUGAGGUGUCCUGUUAAGUCAGGUAACGAGCGAGAUCCCUGCCUCUAGUUGCUACCAUUAUUCUCAGGAGUAGUGGAGCUAAUUAGAGGGACCGCCGUCGCUGAGACGGAGGAAGGUGGGGGCUACGGCAGGUCAGUAUGCCCCCGAAACCCUCGGGCCACGACGCGGGCUGCAAUGGUAAGGACAAUGAGUUUCGAUUCCGAAAGGAGGAGGCAAUCUCUAAACCUUAACCACAGUUAUGAUUGAGGGCUGAAACC